GUCCACGCCGUAAACGUUGGGCGCUAGGUGUGGGGCUCUUUCCACGAGUUCCGUGCCGCAGCUAACGCAUUAAGCGCCCCGCCUGGGGAGUACGGCCGCAAGGCUAAAACUCAAAGGAAUUGACGGGGGCCCGCACAAGCGGCGGAGCAUGUGGAUUAAUUCGAUGCAACGCGAAGAACCUUACAAAGGCUUGACAUGGGGCGAAAACUGGCAGAGAUGUCAGGUCCGCAAGGGCGCCUCACAGGUGGUGCAUGGUUGUCGU
rnacentral:rRNA from 1 species